GGUCACCUCCAAAGGCCGCCCCAUUCGGGUCGCUAAGGGGGGGUCGCUGGGGCCAGCUGGAGGACAGCCAGGGCCAGGGGGAGGAGCAGGCUGAGAAGGUGACAGCUUCAGAUGCCCCCGUGCUCUCUGCCACAGCCCGGGAGCCCCCCCAAAUCUCCCCGGUGCACUCUGACUCUGGGGUGUGGAGGGAUUCUGAGAAGCAGCCUCAGCUCCCCCAGCUCCCGAGACGCUGUGAGAAGACUCGGGCAAAAUCAACCAUCAGAGAAGUCAGGGGCUGUCCCCGCUGUGAGCCUGCCCUGGGAUCGCUCCCAGCCGAAGCCUCCUCUGGUCCGCUCCCCGCGGCUCCUUCCGUGCUUCGCUCCGAAGCCUCUACCGGUCCGCUCUCCGCGGCUCCUUCUGGGCUUCUACUUCCCCCCAGGGGUGGCACCAGUAUAUAUACGGAUACAGUGUCCAAUCAUGUUAAAGUAAGCAAGGCAAGCUGAUUGGCUAACAUAUUAUUGAGCGGGUUGUUUACGCGGUAAGCAGGAAACUAACGUGCUCGAUGGGAGGGGUAAUCUAACUCAGGCUUUGCUCUUUACCACAGGCCGCAUGAUCGCUAUAUGCGGCGGCUCGGCAAUGUGGUGGCUCCCAACAUCUCCCCCUUUUUUAUUUUAAAUAAGUCUACGCAUCGCAGCCCGUCCUGAAUUGAGUGUAGAGGCCUAUGCCCUGAUAGGAGGCCCACCAAGGGCUCUCGGCGUCGGCCCGGGUCGGCCGUCCCCGAGUCUGCCGAGGCCCCGAGGCCCUCGUCCUUUUUCCAGGGCCAGGAAGGAACCGGACAGAACCUGGAUGCACACAGGCAUACACUCAUGUCGCUCCGCAUGAUCCCCCCGGGGCGACAUUUGGUUUGGGCGGAACCUAGUAAUUCAGCGGCUUUCGUGCGGUAUGGGGUAGGGCCUGUCUUAGGUUGAGUCAUGCUGGGGAGGCAUGCUCUUACCCGUCAUUGACUCAUCUACCCUGCUAUAUCAUAAUUUUUUAGAGGAGGAGUGUGGGAAGCUCACCGCCCCUAGACUCGGUCGUAGGCUAGGCGAGCGAGCCAUGCAUAUGCCUGAGGAUCUUCUUGUCCAUUUCGGGCUACCGCUAUUUCUAUUCAUCUUGUUGGUUGGUCUGUGAUGGAUCUCCGGUAGGGCAGGUCUGAUCUUCAGUCGAGGGCUUUGUCGCCCGUGUCAGUCUCUCCGGUACCCACAGUGGUUCUCGUCCCGAUUGCUGCAGAAAAACACAAACCGCGCCUCGGUUCCAGCUGAUUACCGGAUCCGGGCCCAUCCAUUGUCAUGCCAUAGAUAACCGCGCCUUUGGAGGCAGGCCUUGGCUUACUCCCCCUUUUUGUUUUUUAUUUUUUAUUUUUUAUUUUUAUCUUUUUUUUUUUUUAUUUUUUUUUUAUUGGUACCAGGGAUCGAACUGGCGAUUGCCUGCUUACAAGGCAGGCGCUUAUGCCGCUAAGCUAAAUCCCCAGCCCCCAUUUCCUCGACCGGCGUUUUUCUCAGCCUGCUCGGCAGAGAACUCUGUGUACCAGGCUCGCCAAUCCAGGUAACUACCCGAGGGCAGACACGCCUUUGCCAGCUGAAUCCAGUCCGCGGGGGUGAGGGGCCCAGAAGACAGGUUCUCCAGCAUGGCAAUGGUGUAAGGCGCAGUCGGCCCAAAGGUUGUAACUGCAUUUUUAAGUUCUCUAAUCUGCUUUAUCUCAAAAGGCUCCCAUGCAUUACGUCCCUGGCCCAUAGCUACUUGUACAGGAAAUAUCCCGUAGGGGCCACUAUCUAUCCCAGGUGGUGGAUGUACCUCAUGAGACAAACGUCCCCCCUGCCAAAGCCGCCUGUAAAAAUACCGACCCGCCGGCGGCGGAGCAUAAGACGGCGGCCGUGAUUGGGCGGAAAAUGGGGGCCCGUGCAUCACUUCCUGUUCUGGCGAAAGGGGAGGGAGCUCCCAGGCGGCCGCCUCGUGGCGAGGGAUCGCUUCCGGGAACAGCCCCCAAGGUGGGGUGGAAGGCUUCGCCUCCCUCUCGCGCCAGGGGGUGCUCAGGAGCUCUCUACUCCUCCGCAGACCAAGUUGAGCGGAGCGCAAUUCGCGGCUCAACGCUGGGAAAGAACCCUGCGACUCCUUAUCGGGCGGCCUAUCCUCUUGGCAUCUAGGCUCCUUGGUCUCAUCGUUGUCUAAGCCUUCCUCGUUCUCGGAGUCAGACGACUCCGAGGCCUGAGCCCCGUCUUCCUCCUUUAUAUCUUUGUCUCCUUUGACGGACCCCUCCCGGGAGCUCCCUGACUGGGCCUGUUCGAAUGCCCUACGCACUUUAAUGAGCUCUUGAGAACCUUCCCUGCAACCACCCUCGCUCUUCAAGCAUGCAUAUAUCAUUUCCCACAGUGGCCGAGCGAAGACUGAAGCCCCGCCCUCCCUUUCCGCUAGAGAAAGAUCCCUGCCCAACUUCUCCCACGAGGGCAGGUUUAAGUGCCCUGUGGGCAAGAACCAGGGAGCGAAACUAUCAAUCUCCUCAAAAAAGCUCUCCAGCGUUUUGCGUCCCACCUUGAGGUCUCUGGACUUUAAGAGCUUCCGGAGGACCUGUACCAAGGGCUGGGUGUCGUUACUCGGUACGUUACCCAUAUUUAAUAUGUUACUCACCGCGUGAGGCCCAAAAAUCCGCCACUUACGCGUGAGCCUGAGGGGAGUCUAAAAACCCUGUAGGUGCGCGCCACCCAGGGCCCAGGUUUAUCCCCUACUCACCUGUCUCGCAGUGCUGUAUCAAGGAACGUUGUCCACUACCACGUCUCGGGGGUGAUCAGUUGUUCCCCGUGCGGGCCACCAAAUGUCGAUGUCGCUCCCGGCCGGCAGGAAGGACACACGACAAAGUCUGGCAGUGGACAACCUUUUCUUUUAUUUUCUCUCCGUACAGCCUGCCCUGGGAUCGCUCCCAGCCGAAGCCUCCUCUGGUCCGCUCCCCGCGGCUCCUUCCGGGCUUCUACUUCCCCCCAGGGGUGGCACCAGUAUAUAUACGGAUACAGUGUCCAAUCAUGUUAAAGAGGUGCGGGAGUCCCGCAGGCGGCACGAACGGCGCCUGGUGGAGGUGGACAGCAGCCGGCAGCAGGAGUACGACUUCAAGAUGGCCCAGGCGCUGGAGGAGCUGCGCAGCCAGCACGACCAGCAAGUGCAGCUCUACCGGCAGGAGCUGGAGCAGACCUACCAGGCCAAGCUGGAGAACGCCAGGCUGAGCUCCGACCAGAACUGUGGGAAGCCGCCUAUGAUGGCGCCCAUUUCCUGCUUCCGGGUUCUUCCCGGCCUGAACAAGCCCGCCAAAUUGUCAUAUCUGCCCAGUUACCCGUGACGCUAGCCUAUCAGCUUGUUAGGCGCGCUUCUCUGUGAUUGGAUACUGCUUCCCCUUAUAAGAGGUUGUUCCUGCCCCCAACGGCGGAAGAGGAACCAACGUUGAGGGUGGCGGACCUUGUUAGGUCCGGUUCGCUGUACGUAAUAAAGUUUGAGAGCUGAUCCUGCUCGAGUUUGGCCUCCUGUCUUCCGCGGCUCCGGUCAUCUGGUGGCCGCCCGUACGGGGAAAAAGGUAAAAGACUCAGCGACGUGCCUCUUCGGCCGGGAGGUGCGAUUGCUGUCGCCUGCGGUACGACGGAGGACCUGGCCCAAUAACAACAGAAGGCCGCGAGCACCUCUUCUCUUCACCCUGAUCAGCUACGUGAGAUACAGCGGUUCCCAGGACAGGUGAGUACUGGGUCACCUGGGUUGGGUGGACGCACCUAACAGAUUUUGAGCGCCACACGAGUGGACGCCGGUUUUUUUUUUUUUUUUCUUUUCCCUUUGCAUCUGUUUUGCUUUCGCUUCGCUAAUACAGCCCGACAGGCUUUUGAUAGAGCUCGAUCGGAAUGCUCAGAGGAGCCCGGAGCCACUGCCGAUUGUGGGUCUCCGGAGGACCCUCAGGGCUCUAAUUCUGAUUCGGAUUCGGAAGGCUCAGAAGAGGAGGUCGUCUUUGCUAAGCAUGACCCUCCUACACCGUUAAAAGAGGAACUUAGGGCUCGGGAAGAUAAAAAGGGGAACCAAACACCACCCUGCCCGAGCUACUCCGCCUUACGGGAGGAGCUUAAGCCCUUCCGCCCUUUGGCAAGUUCACGGUCCUUCCACCGGAGGGUAUGGUCGCGGCUUCCUUUUGAGUGUUCCGGUCUCCAUGCAUUCCCGGUAGCCCUUAGAAAUUAAACAACUUAAAACUAUCAAAGAUGCAGUUUCAGCUUAUGGGCCCAAUGCGCCAUUUACCAUGGCGCUUUUAGAGGCAUUGGCAGGUCUGCUUUUAACUCCUGGAGAUUGGACCCAGCUGGCACGGGCCUGCCUCUCCCCCGGACAAUAUUUAGAUUGGAAGUCCUGGAAUGAGGAAUUCUGUGUAGAGCAGGCGGCAGCCAACAGGGAAAAUAACCAGAGAGAGUGGAACAGGGAUAUGCUAUUAGGGCGAGGAGCCUUUGAGGAAGAUCAAACUCAAUACCCUCGCCAGGUUUAUGAACAAAUUAGCCGCUGUGGCCUCCAGGCCUGGAAACGGCUGGCUGGAAAGGGAGAACGUACGGGUCACCUUACAAAAAUUAUACAAGGGCAGGGAGAGCCAUUUUCAGACUUUGUGGCCCGCAUGCUUGAGGCCGCUAACAGGAUUUUUCCAGAUGCUGAGGCGGCUCACCCUCUCAUAAAACAAUUGAUUUUUGAACAGUGCACUAAGGAGUGCCGUGAUGUCCUAAGAACUAACAAAAAUAGGUCCUUAGAAGAGUGGACAUGCCUGUGCCGUGAAUUGGGUGGCCACGGCCUAACGCCCAAAGGAAGAAUAUCAUUGGCACUCUUUACCAUAAAUUUUUUAAACCUUAAUCAUAAAAAUCAUUCCCCUGCCAUGGAACAUAGCAAUCCGUCCCCAACCGACAAAGGGCUGGUGAGAUGGAAAGAUGUCCUUACAGGACAAUGGAUGGGCCCGGAUCCAGUGGUUAGUUGGACCCGAGGUGCGGUUUGUGUCUUCCCACAGGAACCAGGCUGCGAACCGCUGUGGGUCCCGGAAAGAUUGACACGAGUAGUAAACUCCCCACCAGUUCCUGAUAAAGCACAGGAGGAUAAGCCCGCGGACACAAGUCAACUCGACCCUUCUGGGACCGACGCUCAGCGCCCGAGACCAUCUACAAACUAAAAUGUCUGGUUUGGAGCUUUUUCUAUUCUGUGGGUUCCUAUUAGCUUUUUCUAUUCUGUGGGUUCCUAUUAAUCACCCCUGUGAUAUGCUCAGAUUCCACAGAACCACCACAAUAUCUUUGGGGUCCUUGGCACCACCCGCCCACAUUGGCACCUUUUUCGGCGGCCUCGCCCGCCUCACCCAGGGUUUACACCAUCAAUCAAACAGUCCUUGAUUAUGCUAAUUGCCAUGGCUAUCCUAGUAGGGCUUGUGGUUAUUAAAUGCUUGUUAGAUCGCCUCAUACAAACUCAGCAGCAGGUUAAGAUCACAGCUAUGGCAGCCAUGCAAAUGGCAGCAGGUGACCCAUCAGGCCAGCAGGCCGCCGCAUAUCUCCUUCACAUUGCAGAACAUCAGCUAUAAGAGCUGAGUGGGCAAGCCAAUGACGGGUAAGACGGGAAAAGCCCUCCCAGUCAACCUAAGACAGGCUCCACUCAGAUAUAUAUGGCCUAUAAGGCCAGGGGUCCCUCCCGGAGUCAAAUUAUUGGCAUUGAGAUGCGAGACCAAGGGUACUGCAGUGCCAUCCGCCCCAAAGGUUGGGGGGAAGGCAGGAAUGAAUGUCUAUAUGCAUCUAGGUUCGGUUCACAAAAGCCUGGCCCUCUGAAAAAAUGAACCACUCACCUUGAGCAUGGUCCUGGCGCAAGGAUAUGCACAAAACAGGGUGAUGCACAGCAGGGUAUAGACCUCUACAUUCUCUCAUGCCUGGGCCUACAAGGUAGGCCCACUCCUAGGUGUCUAACAGCAACAAGGUCAUAGACACCUUGGAGGGACCCACAGACCAUCCUAUUUUAAUAAAUAAAAAAGGGGGAGAUGUGGGAAGCCGCCUAUGAUGGCGCCCAUUUCCUGCUUCCGGGUUCUUCCCGGCCUGAACAAGCCCGCCAAAUUGUCAUAUCUGCCCAGUUACCCGUGACGCUAGCCUAUCAGCUUGUUAGGCGCGCUUCUCUGUGAUUGGAUACUGCUUCCCCUUAUAAGAGGUUGUUCCUGCCCCCAACGGCGGAAGAGGAACCAACGUUGAGGGUGGCGGACCUUGUUAGGUCCGGUUCGCUGUACGUAAUAAAGUUUGAGAGCUGA